rnacentral:rRNA from 1 species
AGACCCGAAACCCGGUGAUCUAGCCAUGGGCAGGUUGAAGGUUGGGUAACACUAACUGGAGGACCGAACCGACUAAUGUUGAAAAAUUAGCGGAUGACCUGUGGCUGGGGGUGAAAGGCCAAUCAAACCGGGAGAUAGCUGGUUCUCCCCGAAAGCUAUUUAGGUAGCGCCUCGUGAAUUCAUCUCCGGGGGUAGAGCACUGUUUCGGCUAGGGGGCCAUCCCGGCUUACCAACCCGAUGCAAACUGCGAAUACCGGAGAAUGUUAUCACGGGAGACACACGGCGGGUGCUAACGUCCGUCGUGAAGAGGGAAACAACCCAGACCGCCAGCUAAGGUCCCAAAGUCAUGGUUAAGUGGGAAACGAUGUGGGAAGGCCCAGACAGCCAGGAUGUUGGCUUAGAAGCAGCCAUCAUUUAAAGAAAGCGUAAUAGCUCACUGGUCGAGUCGGCCUGCGCGGAAGAUGUAACGGGGCUAAACCAUGCACCGAAGCUGCGGCAGCGACGCUGAUGCGUUGUUGGGUAGGGGAGCGUUCUGUAAGCCUGCGAAGGUGGCCUGUGAGGGUUGCUGGAGGUAUCAGAAGUGCGAAUGCUGACAUAAGUAACGAUAAAGCGGGUGAAAAGCCCGCUCGCCGGAAGACCAAGGGUUCCUGUCCAACGUUAAUCGGGGCAGGGUGAGUCGACCCCUAAGGCGAGGCCGAAAGGCGUAGUCGAUGGGAAACGGGUUAAUAUUCCCGUACUUGGUGUUACUGCGAAGGGGGGACGGAGAAGGCUAUGUUGGCCGGGCGACGGUUGUCCCGGUUUAAGCGUGUAGGUGUGUGUUCCAGGUAAAUCCGGUUCACUUUAACACUGAGGCGUGAUGACGAGGCACUACGGUGCUGAAGCAACAAAUGCCCUGCUUCCAGGAAAAGCCUCUAAGCAUCAGGUAACAUCAAAUCGUACCCCAAACCGACACAGGUGGUCAGGUAGAGAAUACCAAGGCGCUUGAGAGAACUCGGGUGAAGGAACUAGGCAAAAUGGUGCCGUAACUUCGGGAGAAGGCACG